CCAUGUAGAGGUUUGGGCCCAAUUUGGAAAAUUAGGCCAUAUGUUGGGCUUUGAUCCCUAGUUGACUUUGGGCCUAUGGAUUGGGCCUUGGGCUUGGGUAAGCCAAGCUAGAGUUCGGGAAUCUGUCAUCCAGCAGCUAAGGUUGAGUCUGCGGGACUUCAGCAGUAUGAGAUUGUGUCUACGGGACUUCAGCAGUGUGAGGUACUCAGUUUUCAAAAGAGGAGCUCGAGAAGAUUGCAGUGCACACACCAUUUGUUCAGCCUGGGAUGUUUAUACUCUGAUAUACUUGACAUGUGUUAUAAUAUUUUGAGAUACAUUGUUUACGAUUUUUAUACGAGGUUUAUUGACUAUGGUUUUUAUUAUUAAAUUAAACGAAA